rnacentral:rRNA from 1 species
AUUGAACGCUGGCGGCAGGCCUAACACAUGCAAGUCGAGCGGAUGAAGGGAGCUUGCUCCUGGAUUCAGCGGCGGACGGGUGAGUAAUGCCUAGGAAUCUGCCUGGUAGUGGGGGAUAACGUCCGGAAACGGGCGCUAAUACCGCAUAAGUCCUGAGGGAGAAAGUGGGGGAUCUUCGGACCUCACGCUAUCAGAUGAGCCUAGGUCGGAUUAGCUAGUUGGUGGGGUAAAGGCCUACCAAGGCGACGAUCCGUAACUGGUCUGAGAGGAUGAUCAGUCACACUGGAACUGGGACACGGUCCAGACGCCUACGGGAGGCAGCAGUGGGGAAUAUUGGACAAUGGGCGAAAGCCUGAUCCAGCCAUGCCGCGUGUGUGAAGAAGGUCUUCGGAUUGUAAAGCACUUUAAGUUGGGAGGAAGGGCAGUAAGUUAAUACCUUGCUGUUUUGACGUUACCAACAGAAUAAGCACCGGCUAACUUCGUG